AGAGUUUGAUCCUGGCUCAGGACGAACGCUGGCGGCGUGCCUAAUACAUGCAAGUAGAACGCUGAAGAGAGGAGCUUGCUCUUCUUGGAUGAGUUGCGAACGGGUGAGUAACGCGUAGGUAACCUGCCUUGUAGCGGGGGAUAACUAUUGGAAACGAUAGCUAAUACCGCAUAACAAUGGAUGACACAUGUCAUUUAUUUGAAAGGGGCAAUUGCUCCACUACAAGAUGGACCUGCGUUGUAUUAGCUAGUAGGUGAGGUAAUGGCUCACCUAGGCGACGAUACAUAGCCGACCUGAGAGGGUGAUCGGCCACACUGGGACUGAGACACGGCCCAGACUCCUACGGGAGGCAGCAGUAGGGAAUCUUCGGCAAUGGGGGCAACCCUGACCGAGCAACGCCGCGUGAGUGAAGAAGGUUUUCGGAUCGUAAAGCUCUGUUGUAAGUCAAGAACGGGUGUGAGAGUGGAAAGUUCACACUGUGACGGUAGCUUACCAGAAAGGGACGGCUAACUACGUGCCAGCAGCCGCGGUAAUACGUAGGUCCCGAGCGUUGUCCGGAUUUAUUGGGCGUAAAGCGAGCGCAGGCGGUUUGAUAAGUCUGAAGUUAAAGGCUGUGGCUCAACCAUAGUUCGCUUUGGAAACUGUCAAACUUGAGUGCAGAAGGGGAGAGUGGAAUUCCAUGUGUAGCGGUGAAAUGCGUAGAUAUAUGGAGGAACACCGGUGGCGAAAGCGGCUCUCUGGUCUGUAACUGACGCUGAGGCUCGAAAGCGUGGGGAGCGAACAGGAUUAGAUACCCUGGUAGUCCACGCCGUAAACGAUGAGUGCUAGGUGUUGGAUCCUUUCCGGGAUUCAGUGCCGCAGCUAACGCAUUAAGCACUCCGCCUGGGGAGUACGACCGCAAGGUUGAAACUCAAAGGAAUUGACGGGGGCCCGCACAAGCGGUGGAGCAUGUGGUUUAAUUCGAAGCAACGCGAAGAACCUUACCAGGUCUUGACAUCCCGAUGCUAUUUCUAGAGAUAGAAAGUUACUUCGGUACAUCGGUGACAGGUGGUGCAUGGUUGUCGUCAGCUCGUGUCGUGAGAUGUUGGGUUAAGUCCCGCAACGAGCGCAACCCUUAUUGUUAGUUGCCAUCAUUCAGUUGGGCACUCUAGCGAGACUGCCGGUAAUAAACCGGAGGAAGGUGGGGAUGACGUCAAAUCAUCAUGCCCCUUAUGACCUGGGCUACACACGUGCUACAAUGGUUGGUACAACGAGUUGCGAGUCGGUGACGGCGAGCUAAUCUCUUAAAGCCAAUCUCAGUUCGGAUUGUAGGCUGCAACUCGCCUACAUGAAGUCGGAAUCGCUAGUAAUCGCGGAUCAGCACGCCGCGGUGAAUACGUUCCCGGGCCUUGUACACACCGCCCGUCACACCACGAGAGUUUGUAACACCCGAAGUCGGUGAGGUAACCUUUUGGAGCCAGCCGCCUAAGGUGGGACAGAUGAUUGGGGUGAAGUCGUAACAAGGUAGCCGUAUCGGAAGGUGCGGCUGGAUCACCU
rnacentral:rRNA from 1 species